GACGAACGCUGGCGGCGUGCCUAAUACAUGCAAGUCGAACGCUUCUUUCCUCCCGAGUGCUUGCACUCAAUUGGAAAGAGGAGUGGCGGACGGGUGAGUAACACGUGGGUAACCUACCCAUCAGAGGGGGAUAACACUUGGAAACAGGUGCUAAUACCGCAUAACAGUUUAUGCCGCAUGGCAUAAGAGUGAAAGGCGCUUUCGGGUGUCGCUGAUGGAUGGACCCGCGGUGCAUUAGCUAGUUGGUGAGGUAACGGCUCACCAAGGCCACGAUGCAUAGCCGACCUGAGAGGGUGAUCGGACACACUGGGACUGAGACACGGCACAGACUCCUACGGGAGGCAGCAGUAGGGAAUCUUCGGCAAUGGACGAAAGUCUGACCGAGCAACGCCGCGUGAGUGAAGAAGGUUUUCGGAUCGUAAAACUCUGUUGUUAGAGAAGAACAAGGACGUUAGUAACUGAACGUCCCCUGACGGUAUCUAACCAGAAAGCCACGGCUAACUACGUG
rnacentral:rRNA from 1 species